UUUCGCAAUGCCCGAAAGGGUGACGAAGCGACGCCGCGUGAGUGAGGAAGGCCUUCGGGUUGUAAAGCUCUGUCAGGAGUUAAGAAAUAUAAGUGUGCUAAUACCACAUUUAUUUGACGAAGGCUCCAAAGGAAGCCACGGCUAACUCUGUGCCAGCAGCCGCGGUAAUACAGAGGUGGCAAGCGUUGUUCGGAAUUAUUGGGCGUAAAGAGCACGUAGGUGGGUUUGUAAGUCAGAUGUGAAAGCCUUCUGUUCAACGGAAGAAUUGCAUCUGAAACUGCAGAUCUUGAGUGUAGGAGGGGAGAGUGGAACUUCUGGUGGAGCGGUGAAAUGCGUAGAUAUCAGAAGGAACGUCGGCGGCGAAAGCGACUCUCUGGCCUAUUACUGACACUGAGGUGCGAAAGUUAGGGGAGCAAACGGGAUUAGAUACCCCGGUAGUCCUAACCGUAAACGAUGGGCACUAAGUAGAGGGGUUUUA
rnacentral:rRNA from 1 species